GCCGGGUGUGGUGGUGGGUGCCUGUAGUCCCAGCUACUUGGGAGGCUGAGAUGGGAGAAUUGCUUGAACCCGGGAGGUGGUGGGUUGCAGUGAGCUGAGACCAUGCCACUGCACUCCAGCCUGGGUGACAGAGUGAGACUCUGUCUCAA
rfam:Pan troglodytes isolate Yerkes chimp pedigree #C0471 (Clint) chromosome 2B, whole genome shotgun sequence.